UAAUCUGACAAAAAUUGAAAG
rnacentral:piRNA from 1 species